GCAGCAUCAAUCCAAUGUUCACAUGGUAUUCUCACUGUGUUUGUGUCUGUGUUCAAAUUUCCCUUUUUUAUAGACACCAGUCAUACCUGG